rnacentral:rRNA from 1 species
UCCAGACUCCUACGGGAGGCAGCAGUGAGGAAUAUUGGUCAAUGGCCGAGAGGCUGAACCAGCCAAGUCGCGUGAGGGAUGACGGCCCUACGGGUUGUAAACCUCUUUUGUCGGGGAGCAAAGAGAGUCACGUGUGGCUCAUUGAGAGUACCCGAAGAAAAAGCAUCGGCUAACUCCGUGCCAGCAGCCGCGGUAAUACGUAGGGGGCAAGCGUUAUCCGGAUUUACUGGGUGUAAGGGGAGCGUAGACGGUGCAGCAAGUCUGAUGUGAAAGGUCGGGGCCCAACCCCGGGACUGCAUUGGAAACUGUUGAACUGGAGUACAGGAGAGGUAAGCGGAAUUCCUAGUGUAGCGGUGAAAUGCGUAGAUAUUAGGAGGAACACCAGUGGCGAAGGCGGCUUACUGGACUGUAACUGACGUUGAGGCUCGAAAGCGUGGGGAGCAAACAGGAUUAGAUACCCGCGUAAC